UGCGUAGGCGGCUCUUUAAGUCAGUGGUGAAAGCCUGGUGCUUAACACCAGAAUUGCCAUUGAUACUGGAGAGCUUGAGUUAAGAAGAGGUAAGCAGAAUUCAUGGUGUAGCGGUGAAAUGCAUAGAUACCAUGAGGAAUUCCAAUAGCGAAGGCAGCUUACUGGUCUUUGACUGACGCUGAGGCACGAAAGCGUGGGGAGCGAACAGGAUUAGAUACCCUGGUAGUCC
rnacentral:rRNA from 1 species